CCUACGGGAUGCAGCAGUGAGGAAUAUUGGUCAAUGGCCGAGAGGCUGAACCAGCCAAGUCGCGUGAGGGAAGACGGCCCUACGGGUUGUAAACCUCUUUUGUCGGGUAGCAACGCGCGUCACGUGUUACUCAUUUAGAGUACCCGACGAAAAAGCAUCGGCUAACUCCGUGCCAGCAACCGCGGUAAUACGUAGGAUGCGAGCGUUGUCCUGAUUGCUAGGGUUAAAAGGGUGCGCAGGCGGAGGUGCAAGUCAGCGGUCCAAUUGCGGGGCUCAACCCCGUACUGCCGUUGAAACUGCAUCCCUUGAGGGCGCGAGAAGUAUGCGGAAUGCGUGGUGUAGCGGUGAAAUGCAUAGAUAUCACGCAGAACUCCGAUUGCGAAGGCAGCAUACCGGCGCGCAACUGACGCUCAUGCACGAAAGCGUGGGUAUCGAACAGGAUUAGAUACCCUUGUAGUC
rnacentral:rRNA from 1 species